rnacentral:rRNA from 1 species
ACGGAAGGCAGCAGUGGGGAAUAUUGGACAAUGGGGGAAACCCUGAUCCAGCGACGCCGCGUGAGUGAAGAAGUAUUUCGGUAUGUAAAGCUCUAUCAGCAAGGAAGAAAAUGACGGUACUUGACUAAGAAGCACCGGCUAAAUACGUGCCAGCAGCCGCGGUAAUACGUAUGGUGCAAGCGUUAUCCGGAUUUACUGGGUGUAAAGGGUGCGUAGGUGGUAUGGCAAGUCAGAAGUGAAAACUAUGGGCUCAACCCAUAGACUGCUUUUGAAACUGUCAAACUAGAGUGCAGGAGAGGAAAGAAGAAUUCCUAGUGUAGCGGUGAAAUGCGUAGAUAUUAGGAGGAAUACCAGUGGCGAAGGCGUCUUUCUGGACUGUUACUGACACUGAGGCACGAAAGCGUGGGGAGCAAACAGGAUUAGAUACCCUGGUA